GGGGCUUUUAGGGAGCACGAAGGGAAGGUGUGUGGUGGCUCCCCGCGAUGACAACCGAGAGUAUGCUGAAUCUGCAGGAGUUUGGCCGGAAAGGUGAAUUGCCCUCAUUCUCAACGAAAAAUGACUGAAAUAAUCCCAGCAAAAAC